UAAUGAUCCUUCUGCAGGUUCACCUGCUGAAACUUUGUUGCAACUUUUACUUCCUCUAGAUAGCCAAGUUCGACUUCUUCUCAGCACUCAUCUAGAGCCAUGGGCAGACCCCUGCAGGGCCAAUCUGAGGGCCUCACUAAACCACCCAAUUGGUAGUAGUGACAGGCAGUGUGUACAAAGGGCAGGGACUUAAUCAAUGCAAGCUUAUGACCUGCACUUACUGGGAAUUCCUCAUUCAUGGGGAAUAAUUGCAAUCCCUGAUCCCCAUCAUGAAUGGGGUUCAAUGGGUAACUUGCUCCUGCUGGCAUAGAGUAGGCACACACUGAGCCAGUCAGUGUAGUGUGCAUGCAGCCUCGGACACCUAAGGGCAUCAAAGACCUGUUAUUGCUCAAUCUCAGGUGGCUGAAUGCCACUUGUCCCNNNNNNNNNNGACCGCUCCGGGAGUCGCUUAACUAGUUAGCAUGCCAGAGUCUCCUUCCUUUUUGGAAUUAACCAGACAAAUUGCUCCACCAAAUAAGAACAGCCAUGCACCACCACCCAUGGAUUCAAGAAAGAGCUAUCAAUCUGUCAAUCCUGUCUGUGUCUGGUCCAGGUGAGGUCUCCCUUGUAGAGUCAAAUUAAGCUGAACGUCCACUACUAGUGGUGCCCUUCCAUCAAUUCCUUUAAGUUUCAGCUUUGCAACCAUACUCCCCCCAAACCCUAACACUUAGGUUUCCAGGAAGCUGCCAGGGAGGGUCAUGGGAAUAACACUACUUCAUCUCCAGUUGGCAUUGUUUGUGGUCGGAACUACGAUGGUAUCUGACCAUCUUAGAACCUCCGACUUUCUUUCUUGAUUAAUGAAAAUAUUCUUGGCAAAUGUUUUCCCUCUGGUCUGUCUUGCACUAGUCCAAGAAUUUCACCUUUAGUGGCACAAUACGAAUGCCCCAAGCACCCCUCUUAAUUAUGAUCUCAGUUCCAAAAACCAACAAAAUAGAACC
rnacentral:sRNA from 1 species